UACGGAGGGUGCGAGCGUUGUUCGGAAUUACUGGGCGUAAAGCGCGUGUAGGCGGCCUUCUAAGUCUGGUGUGAAAGCCCGGGGCUCACCCCCGGAAGUGCAUUGGAUACUGGAAGGCUGGAGUACCGGAGAGGAGGGUGGAAUUCCUGGUGUAGCGGUGAAAUGCGUAGAUAUCAGGAGGAACACCUGUGGCGAAGGCGGCCCUCUGGACGGAUACUGACGCUGAGACGCGAAAGCGUGGGGAGCAAACAGG
rnacentral:rRNA from 1 species